GACGAACGCUGGCGGCGUGCUUAACACAUGCAAGUCGAACGGUAAGGCCCCUUCGGGGGUACACGAGUGGCGAACGGGUGAGUAACACGUGAGCAACCUGCCCUUGACUUUGGGAUACCAGCUGGAAACAGCUGCUAAUACCGGAUAUGACCUCUUCUCUCAUGGGUUGAGGUGGAAAGCUCCGGCGGUCAGGGAUGGGCUCGCGGCCCAUCAGCUUGUUGGUGAGGUAAUGGCUCACCAAGGCUUCGACGGGUAGCCGGCCUGAGAGGGCGACCGGCCACACUAGGACUGAGAUACGGCCCAGACUCCUACGGGAGGCAGCAGUGGGGAAUAUUGCACAAUGGGCGCGAGCCUGAUGCAGCAACGCCGCGUGCGGUAUGACGGCCUUCGGGUUGUAAACCGCUUUCAGUAGGGACGAAGCUAACGUGACGGUACCUACAGAAGAAGGACCGGCUAACUACGUG
rnacentral:rRNA from 1 species